GGAAGAAAUCGUAACAAGGUUACCGUAGUUGAACCUGCGGGUAGGGAUCAUU
rnacentral:rRNA from 1 species